rnacentral:pre_miRNA from 1 species
AACCCGAUUGGUACCGGUCUCUAUUCGCACUUGAGUCGAGCAGAGGGGGUCGAUGGGGUCCCG